GACACAAUAAGGACUUGACAUUGCACUAGAUUGCAUAGUUUGUCCCAUCCAGCCCAAACAUGGUGGAGGCUGGUAUAAGGCCUAAGCUAUAAAAUGAGGAGCCACAUCUCAUUUAUAACUGCAAAGUGUGCAUGGUGAUGCAUUAUAUUCUAUUCCUAGUCCCUAUUCUACUAGUAAUCCACAGUGUGCCUUUGAGCUGGUAUCUUUACUUCUGCAGACCUCCUUUUCCCAAACUUAAAAUGGCAUAUGAGAAAGCAUUUAUUCCCAUAUACAUUUACUGGUGGCCUCCUUGUGUGCCAGGCAUUGUGCUAGUCACUGACCAGAAAUUGUGAUAGGAAAAAUAGGUAGGGGUAGGGAGCAUGAAAAGAAGAGAAAAAGAAAAAAAUAGUCAUUAUCCUUGUCCUUAUGGAGCUUAGAGUCUAUUGAGAAAGAAAGUAUAAUUAAAUAAUCAUAUAAAAAUGUAAAAUUACAAUCAGAUAAGUGAUAUAAUGGAGACAGCAUCUAAUUAAUGGGUUGACUUAGAAAAGUCAGAGUAAUUCAGUGGGAUUUGAGAUGUGAAAGAUGACCAAAACUAGGACAAAUUUUACUGACCUUUAAUAAUAACUCUUCCCAGUAAAUUGAAUGAGCUGUAUUGGAGUGGGCUUAAGAGAGUAGGAGGAGUUAGAUUGCAGACAGUGAAUUUAGACAGUUCUUUUAGGGAGUUUAGCUGUAAAGGAAGAAGAGAAAUAGCAUAGUGGUUGGAAGGGGGAAAUGGAGUCAAAAUUUAAGACAAAAGAAAUGUAUACAAAUGGAAAUGAUCCAGUAAAAUAGGAAAAUAUGAUACAGGAGACAGAGGGGAGAAUUACUGGAAAGAUAUCCUUGACUAAAUGAGAUCAGAUGGAAUCUAGUGCACAAGGGGUUGGUCUAACAUAGGAAUACAAAGAGUAUAUUCAUAUUAGUGGGAGAAAGGACUAAGUAUAUGAGCACAGAUGUAGGUAGGCAAAUGUAGGAGCUCAUGGAAAGUCUCUGAAUUUCUUCUAGUUUUCUCAUUGAAUUAUGAAGGAAUACCAUCAUAUGAGACUGAACAUUGAAGAGAAAGGGAAUUGGAGGUUUGAAGAGAAAGUGUGAGGAACGGAUGAGAAUGAGAGUGAAAAGCCUAGGGAAACAGCGUGACUUCUAGGCAGUGUUAAAUGUUUCACUUGAGGUUAUUGAUCUUUAAUUGAAUCUAGGAUCAGUUAACUUAUUUUUUUCUCCAGCCCAUCAGCUGUGUGGAUGCAGGCCCAGAUUAGGUGGAGAGGUGAUUUAAUCAGGUUUGGGGGUUUGCCAAACAAAUAUGAUAAAGAGGACAAAGAAGUUGAGGGCACGUGGACAAAGAAACUAUUGACCAUGGAAUUUAAGCUUAAGAAGAAAAAUGAGAGUAUAAGGGGACAGUGAGGAGCAGUGGGAAAGUAUGGGAUUAAAGGAUUGUAGACCCUGAUGAAGUUGGAGGGAUGUUGGAGUGGGAAUAAUAAAGGAAAUACUGGGUUUAGGUAAGAAUACUUGUCAAAAGUGGAGUGCAUAACCUUGAGAUUACAGAGGAGUUGCAGUUUUUGGUACUGACAGCAUAGGGAAUGAUAGUGGGAUAAGUAGCAGAAGUAAAGGAUAAGGUAAGAUCAAUUAAAGAAAAGAAAUUCUGGUCUGUCAAGAACAGAAUUUGAGCAGGUGUGCUGGCUCAUGCCUAUAAUCCCAGGACUUUGGGAGGCCAAGGUAGGAGGAUCUCUUGAGCCCAGGGGUUCACGACCAGCCUAGGCAAUAUAGGGAGACCCCAUCUGUAUAAAAAUUAGAUUAUCCAGGCAUGGUGCCACACACCUGUGUCCCAGCUAUGCAGGAGGUUGAGGCUGCAGUGAGCUGUGAUUGUGCCACUGCACUCCAGCCUGGGUGACAGGGCGAGACCCUCUCUCAAAGAAAAGAGCUGAGAACUCAGAAAGGAUUAUCUAUGUGAAGAAUGAUUUUAGGAGGCUGUCUCAGUAAUGCAGGCUAAAAUAACGGUGGCUUGGAUCAGAGUGUUAGUGGUAAAAAUGAUGAGAAGUGGUGGGAUUCUGGAUGUAGUUAGGUGGAGGUAGAGCCAAACAGGAUUUCCUGGCAUAAGAUGUGAGACAGACAGUCUAGGAUGGCUCCAAGGUUUUUGGCCUAAGCAAUCAGGAGUAUAGAAUUAUCUACUGAAAUGAGAAGACUAGUGGGGGAACAGUUUUGGUAAAGGAAUUCAUUUUAGACAGGUUAAAUUUGAGAUACUCAUUAGACAUCCAAGUGCUGAUGUCAAGUUAGGCAGUUGGCUGUGUGAGUUUGAAGUUCAGGGGAGUGGGCUGGACUGGAAAUGUGAAUUUGAUAGUUACUAGCAUAACUGCUUAGAGCCGUAAGACUGAAUGAGACCACCAAUGGGAUAAGUGGAGAUAAAGCAGAGAAGGGGUCCAAGGGCUGAGUUGUUGAAAUCCAAGACCAUCAGCUAUAAAAUUUUUGAACUUCAUAAGAGCAAGAAUUUUUUCUCAUGGCACGGCCUGCUAGAUGCUUGUUCAGAUUUCUCCCCUUCUUUCUAAGAAGAUCCUGCCUGGAGAGGAGCAACGACGUGGCUAAUGGAUGUGAACAUGACCAAUUACGUGUAGGCAAAAGUCAUAGGAUGGAAUUCUAGGAAAGUUAGAAAGUGUGGGGAGCACAGGCAGCUCAGCUAUCAUGCUUUUCUUAACCUUUGUCCUUGCCCUCCUUCCUGCUUGGAAUGCAGAUAGAAUGCUGAAGGUGCUGGAGAUUACAUCAGAAAGACUGAAAAUUUCCAAAUUUAUCUUGACAUUAUGGAGUAACCAAAAUAGCCCCAAACUGCCUGCAUUGGACUUCAUAUUUUGUUAGAAAAAAACAAAACUCCUCAUUCAUUUAAGCUGAGGGGAGCGGGGUGGGGGCUUACAGCAAAGUGUAUUCCUUAAUAUACAUUUAUGUUGUUCCCUACUUUAUCCCCUAUAUCUAGAAAAAUGCCCAGCAUGUGACAAUUACUCAAUAAAUAUUGAUUGGGUGAAUAAAUGAACAUCUAAGAAUUCCACAAAAUGGUUCAAUGUAAAAUAAACAUCUAAAAAAUCAUGUUAAAACAAUAUGAUGGAGUAAAGAUCCCUAUUCAUUACAACACACUAUAAAAUAUUUAGACUUGGUCGGGCAUGGUGGCUUACACCUGAAAUCUCAGCACUUUGGGAGGCCAAGGCGGG
rnacentral:lncRNA from 1 species